CUGAAGGUUUGGUCCUGGCCUCAGUAUUAAUUUUAACCAAAUUUACACAUGCAAGUUUCAGCAUUCCAGUGAGAACGCCCUAAUCAUGCCCUUAUUUGUUUAGGAGCUGGUAUCAGGCAUAUACAGUGUGUAUAACCCAUGACACCUCGCUUAACCACGCCCCCAAGGGAAUUCAGCAGUGAUAGACAUUGAACAAUAAGCGCAAGCUUGAAUCAGUUAAAGUUAAAAGAGUUGGUUAAUCUCGUGCCAGCCACCGCGGUUAUACGAGUAACUCACAUUAAUACUUCACGGCGUAAAGGGUGAUUAAAAGUUUCUAAAAAGUACUAAAGUUAUAACCUUAUAAAGCUGUCAUACGCACCUAUAAAAGGGAUAAUACACUAACGAAAGUGACUUUAACUAGAUAGAGCUUUUGACCUCACGACAGUUAAGACACAAACUAGGAUUAGAUACCCUACUAUGCCUAACCAUAAAUAGACCUUUACUACCACUUACUUUGUUUAAGUCCGCCUGAGUACUACAAGCGCUAGCUUAAAACCCAAAGGACUUGGCGGUGCCCCAGACCCCC
rnacentral:rRNA from 1 species